AAAAUCCGUCGACUUUAUAAGUUGUGAGGGUUCAAGUC
rnacentral:tRNA from 1 species